rnacentral:rRNA from 1 species
AUUGAACGCUGGCGGCAGGCUUAACACAUGCAAGUCGAACGAGUGGCGGACGGGUGAGUAAUGCUUGGGCAUCUGGCUUAUGGAGGGGGAUAACGACGGGAAACUGUCGCUAAUACCGCGUACCAUAGGAUGAGCCCAAGUGGGAUUAGGUAGUUGGUGGGGUAAUGGCCUCCCAAGCCGACGAUCUCUAGCUGGUCUGAGAGGAUGACCAGCCACACCGGGAAGCAGACACGGCCCGGACUCCGACGGGAGGCAGCAGUGGGGAAUAUGGGACAAUGGGCGCAAGCCUGAUCCAGCCAUGCCGCGUGUCUGAAGAAGGCCUUCGGGUUGUAAAGGACGUUUGUCAGGGAAGCGGUACCUGAAGAAUAAGCACCGGCUAACUACGUGCCAGCAGCCGCGGUAAUUC